rnacentral:lncRNA from 1 species
CUCCCCUUUUUUCUCUUUACCUUAAUCUUUUCUUAGAAGAGAUUUAUUUAUUUGAGAGAGAGAGAGAGAGAGAGAGAGCAAGUGUGUGCCAGUACAUGAGGGGAGGGACAGAGGGAGAAGGACCAAAAGUGCUAAGCAGACGCCCCACUGAGUGUGGGGCCCUAUGUGGGGCUCAGUCCCAGGACCCCGAGAUCAUGACCUGAGCCUAAAUCAGGAGCUGGUGGCUUAACUGACUGUGUCACCCAGGCACCUUCUCUCACCUUGAUCUAUAGAUUUUUCAGGAUGCUGAUGUAUUUGAAGUAGAGGAUGAGUGGCAUGGUGCGGUGUGAAGUCAUGCAGGUGGGAGGUUACCUCCGAGAGACUCUCAAGCAGGGGAAGAAGAAAGACCCCAGGCAUGGAUGAAACCAGCAGAGCAGGGAGCCAACACGAAACAGGGUUGCUGGGCAAAGUGGGGCCUGACCACGAGAUGGGAGCAAGGAGUUCAGGAUUGGAAAGGAACCCGAAUUGAAUACUUCGGCCACCGCAAGCGGGAAGUGGUAAAUUAAGAAAAAUAAAUCCUGAUGAUAAUGAAUUUAUUCGGCUGUA